CUCAGUCAGGUUCUACCACUGAUAACCUUAGGACUCAGUACAGGCUUAAGGUGAAUCUCUAUUGUAUUAACCAUGACACCUCAGGAAACCAACAAUGAAGUGACCAAAUUAGGGACUACCUACUACACGGUGAUGGAGAGGGCCCUCUUAACACCCCGUGAAAAAUACAGCGAGCCUAUCACCGAUAGCAUGAACAUUGGAUGGCAUAUCAACAAGGAGAACACAGCAGAGGCUUCAGUUCAAAGGAAAUUCGGAAGGCUGGUCACUGAUGUUACCAGUUUCUCGAGCAAUUUUCCCAUGUGCCGCCAGCAUAGUCCUCCCCCAAGGAAGACCACCGCCGAUCACACACGCCCCGUCAUGGGGUGGGCCCCCAAAACCAGCACAGACUGGAGGACAGCAGACCCCAAAGCACCAGCCCCACCAGCUACCCAUUACAAUAUGAUGGAGAGGGCCCGCUUAACGCCCCAUGAAAAAUACACCCAGCCUAUCACCAUGAACAUGACAUAUGGA
ensembl:lncRNA